rnacentral:rRNA from 1 species
CUUUGGGGUUAGUGGCGAACGGGUGAGUAACACGUGGGUGAUCUGCCCUGCACUUUGGGAUAAGCCUGGGAAACUGGGUCUAAUACCGGAUAGGACUACGCACUGCAUGGUGUGUGGUGGAAAGCUUUUGCGGUGUGGGAUGGGCCCGCGGCCUAUCAGCUUGUUGGUGGGGUGAUGGCCUACCAAGGCGACGACGGGUAGCCGGCCUGAGAGGGUGACCGGCCACACUGGGACUGAGAUACGGCCCAGACUCCUACGGGAGGCAGCAGUGGGGAAUAUUGCACAAUGGGCGCAAGCCUGAUGCAGCGACGCCGCGUGAGGGAUGACGGCCUUCGGGUUGUAAACCUCUUUCGCCAGGGACGAAGCGCAAGUGACGGUACCUGGAGAAGAAGGACCGGCCAACUACGUGCCAGCAGCCGCGGUAAUACGUAGGGUCCGAGCGUUGUCCGGAAUUACUGGGCGUAAAGAGCUCGUAGGUGGUUUGUCGCGUUGUUCGUGAAAACUCACAGCUUAACUGUGGGCGUGCGGGCGAUACGGGCAGACUGGAGUACUGCAGGGGAGACUGGAAUUCCUGGUGUAGCGGUGGAAUGCGCAGAUAUCAGGAGGAACACCGGUGGCGAAGGCGGGUCUCUGGGCAGUAACUGACGCUGAGGAGCGAAAGCGUGGGGAGCGAACAGGAUUAGAUACCCUGGUAGUCCACGCCGUAAACGGUGGG